rnacentral:rRNA from 1 species
GACGAACGCUGGCGGCGUGCCUAAUACAUGCAAGUCGAGCGGACAGAUGGGAGCUUGCUCCCUGAAGUCAGCGGCGGACGGGUGAGUAACACGUGGGCAACCUGCCUGUAAGACUGGGAUAACUUCGGGAAACCGGAGCUAAUACCGGAUACGUUCUUUUCUCGCAUGAGAGAAGAUGGAAAGAUGGUUUCGGCUAUCACUUACAGCUGGGCCCGCGGCGCAUUAGCUAGUUGGUGAGGUAAUGGCUCACCAAGGCGACGAUGCGUAGCCGACCUGAGAGGGUGAUCGGCCACACUGGGACUGAGACACGGCCCAGACUCCUACGGGAGGCAGCAGUAGGGAAUCUUCCGCAAUGGACGAAAGUCUGACGGAGCAACGCCGCGUGAACGAUGAAGGCCUUCGGGUCGUAAAGUUCUGUUGUUAGGGAAGAACAAGUACCAGAGUAACUGCUGGUACCUUGACGGUACCUAACCAGAAAGCCACGGCUAACUACGUGCCAGCCGCCGCCGUAAGAC